UUACGGCCAUAUCACGUUGAGAUACCGGUUCUCGUACGAUCACCGAAGUUAAGAAAUGUUGCACCAGGUUAGUACUUAGAUGGGUGACCGCUUGUGAACACCAGGU